UCUGGUUGAUCCUGGCAGAGGCCACUGCUAUCGGGGUUCGAUUAAGCCAUGCGAGUCGAGAGGUGCAAGACCUCGGCGUACUGCUCAGUAACACGUGGACAACCUACCCUGAGGAGGGGGAUAACCCCGGAAAACUGGGGAUAAUACCCCAUAGAUUAGGGAGGCUGGAAUGCCCCCUAGUUCAAAGGUCCGCCGCCUCAGGAUGGGUCUGCGGCCGAUUAGGUUGUUGUUGGGGUAACGGCCCAACAAGCCUUUGAUCGGUACGGGUUGUGGGAGCAAGAGCCCGGAGAUGGAUUCUGAGACACGAAUCCAGGCCCUACGGGGCGCAGCAGGCGCGAAAACUUUACAAUGCGAGAAAUCGUGAUAAGGGAACCCCGAGUGCCCGUAAAUUCGGGCUGUCCGCCAGUGCAAAAAACUGGUGAAGAAAGAGCCGGGCAAGACCGGUGCCAGCCGCCGCGGUAAUACCGGCGGCUCGAGUGGUGGCCACUAUUAUUGGGCUUAAAGCGUCCGUAGCUUGGUUGUUAAGUCUUCUGGGAAAUCCAUCGGCUCAACCGAUGGGAGUUCAGGAGAUACUGGCAACCUAGGGACCGGGAGAGGUGAGAGGUACUCCAGGGGUAGGAGUGAAAUCCUGUAAUCCUUGGGGGACCACCUGUGGCGAAGGCGUCUCACUAGAACGGCUCCGACAGUGAGGGACGAAAGCUGGGGGAGCAAACCGGAUUAGAUACCCGGGUAGUCCCAGCUGUAAACGAUGCGCGUUAGGUGUAUCGGCGACCACGAGUCACCGAGGUGCCGAAGGGAAACCGUGAAACGUGCCGCCUGGGAAGUACGGUCGCAAGGCUGAAACUUAAAGGAAUUGGCGGGGGAGCACCACAACAGGUGGAGCCUGCGGUUUAAUCGGACUCAACGCCGGAAAGCUCACCGGAUAAGACAGCUGAAUGAUAGCCGGGUUGAAGACUCUGCUUGACUAGCUGAGAGGAGGUGCAUGGCCGUCGUCAGUUCGUACUGUGAAGCAUCCUGUUAAGUCAGGCAACGAGCGAGACCCA
rnacentral:rRNA from 1 species